GAUGAACGCUGGCGGCGUGCUUAACACAUGCAAGUCGAACGGUGAAGCAGGAGCUUGCUCUUGUGGAUCAGUGGCGAACGGGUGAGUAACACGUGAGCAACCUGCCCCUGACUCUGGGAUAAGCGCUGGAAACGGCGUCUAAUACUGGAUAUGUGAUGUGACCGCAUGGUCUGCAUCUGGAAAGAAUUUCGGUUGGGGAUGGGCUCGCGGCCUAUCAGCUUGUUGGUGAGGUAAUGGCUCACCAAGGCGUCGACGGGUAGCCGGCCUGAGAGGGUGACCGGCCACGCUGGGACUGAGACACGGCCCAGACUCCUACGGGAGGCAGCAGUGGGGAAUCUUGCUCCAUGGGCGGAAGCCUGAUGCAGCAACGCCGCGUGAGGGAUGGCGGCCUUCGGGUUGUAAACCUCUUUUAGCAGGGAAGAAGCGAAAGUGACGGUACCUGCAGAAAAAGCACCUGCUAACUACGUGCCAGCCGCCGCGGUAA
rnacentral:rRNA from 1 species